rnacentral:rRNA from 1 species
CCUACGGGAGGCAGCAGUGAGGAAUAUUGGUCAAUGGGCGCGAGCCUGAACCAGCCAAGUAGCGUGAAGGAUGACUGCCCUACGGGUUGUAAACUUCUUUUAUAAAGGAAUAAAGUGAGGCUCGUGUGCCUUUUUGUAUGUACUUUAUGAAUAAGGAUCGGCUAACUCCGUGCCAGCAGCCGCUGUAAUACGGAGGAUCCGAGCGUGAUCCGGUUUUAUUGGGUUUAAAGGGAGCGCAGAUGGGUUUUUAAGUCAGUUGUGAAAGUUUGCGGCUCAACCGUAAAAUUGCAAUUGAUACUGGCAGCCUUGAGUACAGAUGAGGUAGGUGGAAUUCGUGGUGUAGCGGUGAAAUGCGUAGAUAUAACGAAGAACUCCGAUUGCGAAGGCAGCCUACUAAACUGCCACUGACAUUGAUGCUCGAAAGUGUGGGUAUCAAACAGGAUUAGAUACCCCUGUAGUC